GACGAACGCUGGCGGCGUGCUUAACACAUGCAAGUCGAACGGAAAGGCCCUGCUUUUGUGGGGUGCUCGAGUGGCGAACGGGUGAGUAACACGUGAGUAACCUGCCCUUGACUUUGGGAUAACUUCAGGAAACUGGGGCUAAUACCGGAUAGGAGCUCCUGCUGCAUGGUGGGGGUUGGAAAGUUUCGGCGGUUGGGGAUGGACUCGCGGCUUAUCAGCUUGUUGGUGGGGUAGUGGCUUACCAAGGCUUUGACGGGUAGCCGGCCUGAGAGGGUGAACGGCGACAGUGGGACUGAGAUGCUGCCCAGAAUCCUGCGGGAGGCAACAGUGGGGAAUAUUGCAGAAUGGGCGGAAGCCUGAUGCAGCAACGCCGCGUGCGGGAUGACGGCCUUCGGGUUGUAAACCGCUUUCGCCUGUGACGAAGCGUGAGUGACGGUAAUGGGUAAAGAAGCACCGGCUAACUACGUG
rnacentral:rRNA from 1 species